AUUGAACGCUGGCGGCAGGCCUAACACAUGCAAGUCGAGCGGAUGAAGGGAGCUUGCUCCUGGAUUCAGCGGCGGACGGGUGAGUAAUGCCUAGGAAUCUGCCUGGUAGUGGGGGAUAACGUCCGGAAACGGGCGCUAAUACCGCAUACGUCCUGAGGGAGAAAGUGGGGGAUCUUCGGACCUCACGCUCUCAGAUGAGCCUAGGUCGGAUUAGCUAGUUGGUAGGGUAAAGGCCUACCAAGGCGACAAUCCGUAACUGGUCUGAGAGGAUGAUCAGUCACACUGGAACUGAGACACGGUCCAGACUCCUACGGGAGGCAGCAGUGGGGAAUAUUGGACAAUGGGCGAAAGCCUGAUCCAGCCAUGCCGCGUGUGUGAAGAAGGUCUUCGGAUUGUAAAGCACUUUAAGUUGGGAGGAAGGGCAGUAAGUUAAUACCUUGCUGUUUUGACGUUACCAACAGAAUAAGCACCGGCUAACUUCGUG
rnacentral:rRNA from 1 species